GCGUACACGGUGGAUGCCCUGGCAGUCAGAGGCGAUGAAGGGCGUGCUAAUCUGCGAUAAGCGCCGGUAAGGUGAUAUGAACCGUUAUAACCGGCGAUACCCGAAUGGGGAAACCCAGUGUGACUCGUCACACUAUCAUUAACUGAAUCCAUAGGUUAAUGAGGCGAACCGGGGGAACUGAAACAUCUAAGUACCCCGAGGAAAAGAAAUCAACCGAGAUUCCCCCAGUAGCGGCGAGCGAACGGGGAGGAGCCCAGAGCCUGAAUCAGCAUGUGUGUUAGUGGAAGCGUCUGGAAAGGCGCGCGAUACAGGGUGACAGCCCCGUACACAAAAGCGCAUGUGCUGUGAGCUCGAUGAGUAGGGCGGGACACGUGGUAUCCUGUCUGAAUAUGGGGGGACCAUCCUCCAAGGCUAAAUACUCCUGACUGACCGAUAGUGAACCAGUACCGUGAGGGAAAGGCGAAAAGAACCCCGGCGAGGGGAGUGAAAAAGAACCUGAAACCGUGUACGUACAAGCAGUGGGAGCACCCUUUGGGGUGUGACUGCGUACCUUUUGUAUAAUGGGUCAGCGACUUAUAUUCUGUAGCAAGGUUAACCGUAUAGGGGAGCCGUAGGGAAACCGAGUCUUAAC
rnacentral:rRNA from 1 species